CCGAGCUGCGUGAUGGGAAACUAUCAUGCGCAGUUCUUAGGGGGCGUAAGCUACCCGAU
rfam:Alkalitalea saponilacus strain DSM 24412 genome assembly, contig: LV88DRAFT_scaffold00049.49